AUUGAACGCUGGCGGCAGGCUUAACACAUGCAAGUCGAGCGAGCGGCGGACGGGUGAGUAAUGUCUGGGAAACUGACUGAUGGAGGGGGAUAAAUACUGGAAACGGUAGCUAAUACCGCAUACCAUCAGAUGUGCACAGACGGGAUUAGCUAGUAGGUGGGGUAAUGGCUCACCUCGGCGACGAUCCCUAGCUGGUCUGAGAGGCUGACCCGCCACCCGGGAACUGAGACACGGUCCAGACUCCUACGUGAGGCAGCAGUGGGGAAUAUUUCGCAAUGGGCGCAAGCCUGAUGCAGCCAUGCCGCGUGUGUGAAGAAGGCUUUCGGGUUGUAAAGCACUUUCAGCAAGGAGGCGUUACUCGCAGAGAAAGCACCGGCUAACUCCGUGCCAGCAGCCGCGGUAAUAC
rnacentral:rRNA from 1 species